rnacentral:rRNA from 1 species
GCUCCAGCUUGCUGGGGUACACGAGUGGCGAACGGGUGAGUAACACGUGGGUGACCUGCCCUGCACUUCGGGAUAAGCCUGGGAAACUGGGUCUAAUACCGGAUAGGACCGCACCGUGAGGGUGUGGUGGAAAGUUUUUUCGGUGUGGGAUGGGCCCGCGGCCUAUCAGCUUGUUGGUGGGGUAAUGGCCUACCAAGGCGGCGACGGGUAGCCGGCCUGAGAGGGUGGACGGCCACAUUGGGACUGAGACACGGCCCAGACUCCUACGGGAGGCAGCAGUGGGGAAUAUUGCACAAUGGGCGGAAGCCUGAUGCAGCGACGCCGCGUGGGGGAUGACGGCCUUCGGGUUGUAAACUCCUUUCACCAUCGACGAAGGGUUUCUGACGGUAGAUGGAGAAGAAGCACCGGCUAACUACGUGCCAGCAGCCGCGGUAAUACGUAGGGUGCGAGCGUUGUCCGGAAUUACUGGGCGUAAAGAGCUCGUAGGUGGUUUGUCGCGUCGUCUGUGAAAUUCCGGGGCUUAACUCCGGGCGUGCAGGCGAUACGGGCAUAACUUGAGUACUGUAGGGGAGACUGGAAUUCCUGGUGUAGCGGUGAAAUGCGCAGAUAUCAGGAGGAACACCGGUGGCGAAGGCGGGUCUCUGGGCAGUAACUGACGCUGAGGAGCGAAAGCAUGGGGAGCGAACAGGAUUAGAUACCCUGGUAGUCCAUGCCGUAAACGGUGGGCGCUAGGUGUGGGUUUCCUUCCACGGGAUCCGUGCCGUAGCUAACGCAUUUAAGCGCCCCGCCUGGGGAGUACG